UCCGGUUUGGCACCGGCAGUCUUCCCAGAGUCCCCGACAUAACUCGCUGGCAACUGGGAACGGGGGUUGCGCUCGUUGCGGGACUUAACCCAACAUCUCACGACACGAGCUGACGACAGCCAUGCACCACCUGUGAUGCGGCUCCGAAGAGGGACCGUGUUUCCACGGUUUUCCACAACAUGUCAAGCCUAGGUAAGGUUCUUCGCGUCGCAUCGAAUUAAACAACAUGCUCCGCUGCUUGUGCGGGUCCCCGUCAAUUCCUUUGAGUUUUAGUCUUGCGACCGUACUCCCCAGGCGGGGCGCUUAAUGCGUUAGCUACGACACUGAAAGGUUUAACCCUCCAACGUCUAGUCCUCAUCGUUUAUGGCGUAGACUAC
rnacentral:misc_RNA from 1 species